AUCCAGCUGACGAGUCUCAAGUUGAACGAAACGCAUGUCCUGGAU
rnacentral:hammerhead_ribozyme from 1 species